GGCUCGGUGGUGGAUGGUACCACGUCUGCUUUCAGUGUUGCAUGGCUACGUAAAUUAAGCAGAAGGAGCCCGUUCGAUCCGGGCCUGAGCCA